rnacentral:rRNA from 1 species
UAAUACGUAGGGGGCAAGCGUUAUCCGGAUUUACUGGGUGUAAAGGGAGCGUAGACGGCGCGCCAAGUCCGAUGUGAAAUCCCGGGGCUCAACCGCGGGGCUGCAUUGGAAACUGGUGUGCUGGAGUGCUGGAGGGGUAAGCGGAAUUCCUGGUGUAGCGGUGAAAUGCGUAGAUAUCAGGAGGAACACCGGUGGCGAAGGCGGCUUACUGGACAGCAACUGACGUUGAGGCUCGAAGGCGUGGGGAGCAAACAGG